AUUGAACGCUGGCGGCAGGCCUAACACAUGCAAGUCGAACGGCAGCACAGAGAGCUUGCUCUCGGGUGACGAGUGGCGGACGGGUGAGUAACGUCUGGGAAACUGCCCGAUGGAGGGGGAUAACUACUGGAAACGGUAGCUAAUACCGCAUAACGUCGCAAGACCAAAGUGGGGGACCUUCGGGCCUCACACCAUCGGAUGUGCCCAGAUGGGAUUAGCUAGUAGGUGGGGUAAUGGCUCACCUAGGCGACGAUCCCUAGCUGGUCUGAGAGGAUGACCAGCCACACUGGAACUGAGACACGGUCCAGACUCCGACGGGAGGCAGCAGUGGGGAAUAUUGCACAAUGGGCGCAAGCCUGAUGCAGCCAUGCCGCGUGUAGGAAGAAGGCCUUCGGGUUGUAAAGUACUUUCAGCGGGGAGGAAGGCGGUGAAGUUAAUAGCUUCACCGAUUGACGUUACCCGCAGAAGAAGCACCGGCUAACUCCGUGCCAGCAGCCGCCGUAA
rnacentral:rRNA from 1 species